GCUUAUGCUUCUUGAGAGGCAAAACACAAAUAUUACUAUCAAAAUUUUAAUAUCAUGAAAUAAUUUAUGGGAAAGAACAAUUGUGAAAAUAAGUUGCAUCCUGGAGUUCACAGAAUCAAAUUAUUUUUUUUCUAUUUCAUGCAAGAAAAUAAUCAUUGUGACAGAAUCCUAAUCUUCACAGCCAAAACUAAACCUUACUGCUCGUCAAUGUUUAAUUUAAAUAUGCUCUCAGAUACCUCAAGUCUGGCAGAUCCAAUCA
rnacentral:misc_RNA from 1 species